GGUCUCAGCUGGAGCCAUGUGUGGUGGUUGGUCCUGAGCUAACCUGCUCAGCUGCUACAAAUAGCCCUGGUACAGUGCUGACACUUGGGGAUAGUUCAGCUCUUGGGUUCACUGUGUGCUAUGCAGUAUCUUUAGCUUUCUUUAUUAAACUUACAUGUGCACUGGGAAUAAUGAAGGAACAAGCGUUUCCAAGUCAAUUCAGCUUUUCUGUUUAUUACAGUGUCCUGAUGAAAACAGUCACUCUAGUUUGCUCCUGCUAAUGUAUUCCCUUUAGAGCUGACAGCAACACCAUCUUUUGUUUUAUCGUGGAUAUGACAGUUCGAGGGACAUGGUGUCAAUCGAGGCCUUUGAGCUAGAUGAACAGCCUGGCCCAGCCACCUUACAGCUCACCAUGGUUCCCAUCCCCAUGGCAUCCUUGCCCAACAGUUCUAGCUGGGGGGCUCCUCAACUAUUUAGAUAUUAAGAGAAGGUUGAGGCUGGUUUUUGUCUUUGGAGGUAGGCCCAGUGCAAGCAACUACAUCGGAAUCUAGUGAAGUACCAAAGUCUUUUUGAACAGGUACUUGAGCAUCAUCUGUACCCUGCAACUGGAAAUGACUGGCUUUGGAUAUGCAGAUAUCAUACCAGCUUUUUUUCAGUAUUGUUCACGAAGGUUUCUGAAUUGUGAAGUAAAGCCUUUUUUUUUUUCUUUUUUUUUUUCCUUUUUUUUUUUUUUUGAAACUAUUUCAAAUGACCAGCCAGGGGAUGUCCAAGAGGCUGCUUUAAGCCACCGUUGAAACAAACACCUGUCCCCUGUACUCGCGUGAACUUUUUGGAUGGAAGCAGAUAUGCUGUGGCCGUGCAGAGGGGCACCUCCAGACUGCCCUGCACAGCCCUGGGAAGGCUGGCUGCUGGUGGGACCCUUUUGGCUGCUGCCCCCUCAUUAAGGGAAGAAACUGUGUGAUCAGCGUUUCUGGCCAUCCCACGGAGCAACAGCAAGUAGCUUUCUGACUACUCAAGGCCAUAUUUUCAGAACUGGGUCGUCUGCAUUUCAGGCAGCUUUGUGCUUGAUAAGCUGGUUGUGUUUGGGGAUAGGGCUAAGGCCUGGAGCUUUAAAAAAAAUAAAUAAUAAUAAUAAAAAAGUGAGUAUUUUCAUCGUAUUGCAUUUUUUCCCCCUUUUCUUUAUGUAGAAGUUCUUAUGCUUUUUUUUUUCUUGACCAAGAUUUAACAAUGCAUGUUUUGAUUCCUUGAGGAAGGGUGGGUAGGCGUUUAAGUGUGUUGUUUCAGCACUCCUCUGAGUGAAGUGGUUGUGUUUCUCAUGUUUGGGCUGUUGCUGAUAUGUGUUAUUAAAACUGUUAGCAUUUAAUUCUGCUUACCCUUAUCACACCUUACAGCAGAAAAGCAUGAUUAAUUAAUAUUUAAGCAGAUGAACAUCUCUUGAAGUUUGUGACUCGCAGCCAGAAUGUCAUUAAUUUAAAUAAUCACACAGAUGAAAUUAAUGCAAUAAGUGUUGUAUCUGAGUCCUGUUGCUGAGCAAUCCUGGAUAGUGCAUAAUAACACUGGUGCCUCAGGCACUGAGAUCAGGGGUCGUGAUGUGAUAUUUCUGUGUAUUCAUUAUCUUUCACAAG